rnacentral:rRNA from 1 species
AUUGAACGCUGGCGGCAGGCCUAACACAUGCAAGUCGAGCGAGCGGCGGACGGGUGAGUAAUGCCUGGGAAUUGCCCAGUCGAGGGGGAUAACAGUUGGAAACGACUGCUAAUACCGCAUACGAUUGGAUUGCCCAGGUAGGAUUAGCUAGUUGGUUAGGUUAUGGCUCACCAAGGCGACGGGCCCUAGCUGGUCUGAGAGGAUGAUCAGCCAGACUGGAACGACGACACGGUCCAGACUCCGACGGGAGGCAGCUGUGGGGAAUAUUGCACAAUGGGGGAAACCCUGAUGCAGCCAUGCCGCGUGUGUGAAGAAGGCCUUCGGGUUGGAAAGCACUUUCAGCGAGGAGGCGUUACUCGCAGAAGAAGCACCGGCUAACUCCGUGCCAGCCGCCGCGGUAAUUC